rnacentral:rRNA from 1 species
UACGAAGGGGGCUAGCGUUGCUCGGAAUUACUGGGCGUAAAGGGAGCGUAGGCGGAUAGUUUAGUCAGAGGUGAAAGCCCAGGGCUCAACCUUGGAAUUGCCUUUGAUACUGGCUAUCUUGAGUAUGGGAGAGGUAUGCGGAACUCCGAGUGUAGAGGUGAAAUUCGUAGAUAUUCGGAAGAACACCAGUGGCGAAGGCGGCAUACUGGCCCAUUACUGACGCUGCUAGGACGAAAGCGUGGGGAGCGAAUGGG